UACGGAGGAUGCGAGCGUUAUCCGGAUUUAUUGGGUUUAAAGGGAGCGCAGACGGGUCGUUAAGUCAGCUGUGAAAGUUUGGGGCUCAACCUUAAAAUUGCAGUUGAUACUGGCGUCCUUGAGUGCGGUUGAGGUGUGCGGAAUUCGUGGUGUAGCGGUGAAAUGCUUAGAUAUCACGAAGAACUCCGAUUGCGAAGGCAGUACACUAAGCCGUAACUGACGUUCAUGCUCGAAAGUGUGGGUAUCAAACAGG
rnacentral:rRNA from 1 species